CAAGGGGAGGCGAUGAACUAGCUACCUUGCUCUCACUCCUGCGCACAUGGCAGGGCGCACGCGCCAAAGCCCCAUUUCUAUUGUGAGGCGCUGCGCCAUCAGACUGGAGGCAGAGAUGAACGCCUCUAGUCUCAUUCUAUCAAUAGAAGCUUCGGGGAUUGUGUAUUUGUAAGUCUGACUCCAGUCCACUCCAGCCAGUGCCUCCCCAGUCCUGAACCUCACCGCACGUCACUGCAUUCACAGCCAAGCUCUGUCAACCAUGCUCACUUGUUUGAUGGUGUGAGAAAAGUGGUAAAUCUUUUACUCUGCAUUUCCCACACCCUGUAACAUUUUCCUAAUUUUAACCUAUUAUAUGUAAGUGUAGGCUCAAUAUUUUAUAAAUGAGAAAAAAAUAUGUUUAUGGCUCCUCAAUGCUUCUGUUUGGUUAAAGGGUGAAAUGUUUUAUCACAGUUACUCAUCGUCUGUUUAUUAUACCAAUAAUCUUUUUCUCAUAGACAACUACACUGACCUGUGCCAACAGAGGGAGGCUUUCAUAAAGGGUGAGGACAUCUGGAAAAGAGAGGAAGACAGGGGAGGAAAGAGGAAGAUAAAGCCCAACAGCAGGUGGAUGGACAAUGAGGAAGAGAGUCAACAAUCAAAAAAGCAAAAAUUUUAAACGGCAUCCUGUCCUUCAAAAGAGGCUGCAGACCAAAUGAUUGAAGACUUGAAGAAGGAUCUGAUGGCAAGACAAAAAGAUUUAGAGUCCCCAACCGAAUAUGAGGAGUUAUCAGAUGACGAGCUGCCAUCCAGGAACUGGAGCAAGGCACAAAGGCAAAUAAAGCCGUUAAUAGCCGAGAAUAAAAGGCUGAAAGAAGACAACUUUAAACACCCAAUAGAAGCAAUGAAAGAGCUUCCAGCAGUCGGGCAGAACUUACGAGACAUAUCUGAGCUAUUGUCAUUGAUCUCAAGCAGUGCAUCUGCCAGAUCAACACUCGUGCAAACACCUGUACGAACACCAGCGAGAUCAGAACUGCAACUUUCUGCACCCGCGUCUCCUCAGGUGGACUCUGCUGACUUGGUGUCUCUUGUGUCAGGAGAGUCAAAGUCCCCAGACAGAAGCUCAACUCUCUGCGGACUUCAAGUCACUCAGUUUACAUCGGAGACCUGGCAGUGCUCGUCUACGGCAGGGAAACGCUGUCCUGUGACCCCCCCACCACCACCACCACCACUACCACCACCACCACCACUACCACACUUCCCACUGGUCAGGUCGCGGAGACAGUCGCCUAAACAGGGAGGCCAAGACUUUCCUCUCACCAGCCACUUGGGCCAGCUCUUUCGGGGGAAUUCCCAAAGCGUUCCCUUCCCAGCCGAAGAGUCUCUCCUUCGGCUACAUCACACAUUGCACCCAACAUCUUUGGCUCCUUUCACAAGUGGUGAGUCCAAGAAAUGUAUUGAACAGAAAGACAAGCUGAAUUUACGCCCUUCUCUGUUAUUGCAGCCAAACGUGUGAACUUACCUAAACAAAUACGAUGAAAUGCUAAAAACUGGUUUCUUCAUUAGCUUCCCUCCCACCCCCUCGCAAUUUACUAUAGUGGACAGCAAAGCAUGCCCACGAUGAAAAACAAGAUUAUAAACUUCUUUCGACUGUUUUAACAGCCCAUCUAAAGUGCUGUAAAUUAGCUAUGGCUAAAAGCAUCUUGCUACAAACAUGUGAACGUGGUUUUACAAUGUCCAUGUUCCUGUAUCUGUCUCUAAGUACAUGCCAUCAAUGAAUAAUUGUGUUUGAAGGACUGAUUUUAAAAUUUUCGAACCCAGGGUUUAGAAUGCCGGGCGUGAUGCAGAUUUAAGGUAAGUACUUCCUAUGACUUGUAUACCUUAAUUUCAUUGGUAUUCCUUGUAAGUCUAAGCGUGGUUCAUUUUUAACUUCACCCUUAGUUCUCCGAACAACGUUUGUUUGAUAAGUUGACAUGUUUUCUUCCUCUAUGUCAGUCAAUUCCUUUCUCAACGUAUUUUUCGCCGCUGAGUUUUGCUUGAGAGCUGAAAGUCUCGCUUUAUCUAACCGUUUUAACUUUGAGUCUACAUACUCUAUUCUGUCAAUCGCAGAGCAAGACUCCUCCUUAACAUCUAAUGGUAAAUGCCGGUAUUUUGCCAACAAAUAGUCUUGGAACUGAUUCUCUCUCUUUUUCUGUUCCUCUAGGUUUGACGAGCCUUCUUGAUUUGAACACUUCAGGGCUUCCAGUUUGUUAAUUUUUUGUUUAUUUUGUGAGAUAGCACCUAAAAUCCAGUCCUUCUUACGACUAGGCAUUUGGUUUAAUUUCAUAGGAGUUGCUCUUAACUCUAAGGUUGGUACUAAUUUAAUUUUUGAGAGACAGUCAUCUAAAAUCUUCUCCUCCAGGGCUUCGUUUUCAUGUUGUAAUUUGUAAUUUUGCAGGACUUUAUUUUCCUCUUCGAGUUCCCAAAGUAAAUGCCCCUGUUUACUUAAAUUACGCUUAUGGGCUAAAAUUGUAUCUUUGGCAUCUCUAUUUACUAAAAUUAAAUCAAGAUCAUAUUUUUCUAACUCCUCUUCAUAAGUGUCCAGUUGCUCUAAUUUCUCUGCAGCAGAACGCUCAGUCUCUCUUACAAAGCGCUCUUUCAAAUCUUUGAGUUUUUGUUCCACAUUAAAUAAGUUUAUUAACAAUCUCUCCCUUUCUUUCAGUGGUUCUAUAUGAGGAUGAUGUAGGUUUUCCAUGCUACCUGUUUGCUCUGAGGCGUGAACUGUGACUGAUCCGACGCUGGUCAAGAUGUGCGGAUGGAGAGAAAGAAGAAAAAAGAGAUAUAAAGAAUCAGAACAGAGAUAGGAAGGCAACAG